UUUUGAGUGUAAGUGUGAGUUCAGAACUAAAACUCUUCGUGUUAAUAAGAGAAUAUGUAUAUAUAUAGUAGUUCGAAACUAUGUAAAAUAAGGCAAGAAUCACAAUUCUAUAGUAAUUAUGAACUCAAAACCAAUUAAAGCAAAACCUGUACAAGCACUCCCUUAAUUUAAGGGAAUCAGUUCAAACGGUGAGAACGAGUAACAAAUAAGAAAGGAAAUCAAUGUGUAGACAAGGAAAUAAUUCGAACAUUUUAGGCAUAGAGUGAACCAUUAGGGUUAGGUUCAGAAAAACUCUAAUUAAGGAGAUAGUCGGUAAGAAUCAAGUACCAAUGUAACCAAGGUAAGGGAAUCAAUCCAAUUCAGUAGAAAAGUAUGGGUCGAAGGUCUAAAGGAAAGUGUUCAAAUUAGACCAAGAAACGGGGGAAUCAGAAUCAAUCAAAGAGAAAGUCACGAAUCAAUGUUUUGAAUAUAAAUAAACUAAGACAUAGAUGGUCAAGAGUUUGACAUACAAUUCUAGCAAACAUGAGAGUCAAAAAAUAUUAAUUCAAUGAGAAAGAGGCAAGUUUCGAACAGUCAAUAUGAACACAAGCACAUGGAAUUAGUGUAUGUUUUGGCUAAGAAAACUGAGUAGAAACAUAUCAAGGCAAGAUCAUCACGAAGAAACAUAGAAACUCAAAAAUGAAAACCGGCCAGUCAUGCUGAUACAAAAACCAAACAAAGAACCCCCUAAACAUUAGGGCUUUCAACUAAACAGAAGAUAGAAACCCAGAAUCAGAAGAAUCACAUAAAGGGUACAAGAGAAGAGAUUUCGAAAAGAACUUCUGCACUUGAACGAACACUCUCAGACCCAAAACCAUAAGAUUUUCAACAAUAGAAGGGUUUUAAAAAAAGGAUAAAUAGACAGAUCAGACAAAAACUAAGGCAAACAAACACUCAUUUAAUAAACAGUUAAAAGAAAUUAGGCGUUUUAAUAUGCAAACUCAGGAAGAAGGAUAGUACGAAUAAACACAACAAAACACAUCAAAAAUCAAAUAAAGACUUCAAAAUAACUUAACAGAACCUUAAUCAAAGAGAUAAAGAGUUUUGAAUGCGGAGUAUUAAAAGAAACUUCAAGAAAAAUGCUUAAAAGUUUAAUGCAGACAUAGAUCUGAAAUAGAUCUAAGAGAAAUCGAUAGAACCUUAAAGGUUCGGGUUUCAAAAGAACCCUAAGUGGUGAGAAAGGCUUUGAAAAUCAUAGAUCUAAGUAGGAGAGUCAAGUGUCAGACUCAAAUAGCCAUGCUUGGCUGGAGAAAAGUCAGAGACGACCGCAGAACAGACAUAAACUAAAAUCGACCAAGGUCUGGACCAAGCUCUUUCAAGAUAUAGUCUUGAAACCAUAAUAAUCGAACACAUAGAAGACAUGGGAGGUGGAUACAGGCCUCCGAUGACCUUGGAAGCCAUGAAUUUGGGAGGUUUUAGGGUUGUAGUUG
rnacentral:lncRNA from 1 species